rnacentral:rRNA from 2 species
CCUGGCGGCAGUAGCGCGGUGGUCCCACCUGACCCAUGCCGAACUCAGAAGUGAAACGCCGUAGCGCCGAUGGUAGUGUGGGGUCUCCCCAUGCGAGAGUAGGGAACUGCCAGGC